rnacentral:lncRNA from 1 species
CAGGGGAGAAAGAAAUGUCCAGCACUGAUGUGAAUUCCAUGUGAGGUGCCUUGUUGUUGCUGUGAUGUUCCACCAGAGGGUGCCGGCUUCCAGCAGCAAUACUGGCAAAUUAACAGCUUCUGGAGAUGGGAGUAUGCAGAGCCAACCACAUUAGGAAGUGCUGAAUGAAUCCUGCUGAAGUCAGCCAGAUCUCUGGACAGUAGGAUUCACCACUUUGUCCAAAUUUGCUGGGAACUAAAACAAAAGAAGGAGACAUCAAUGAAGAUUGGCUUAACCUACCCACCAGGGAAGAGAAGAGCCAGAUUUUUCAUUGUUCCCCUCAACCCUUCAGCCUAGCUCUGACACCUGGUUCCUUAUUCAACAACGGCUUUUUUGUUGAGAUGGGGAGAAAGGAACAUGGUG